rnacentral:lncRNA from 1 species
UUUAUAUCGUAGUAUUUGUGGUGGAGAAGUUGUGGUUGUGGGUAGGGAGAAAUGGCGAAUCUGAUGAGUGAGCUCGAGAGGUUCGAGCAGGAGAUGAAGGACCUUGGAUCAGAGACUUCGCAAUUGCUUCCACCUCCUCCUCCUCCUCCUCCUCGCGUUGGAAUAAGAGGUCAUCUACCUCCACUUCCUCCCCCACCACCUGUGAGUAUCUCUCAUCCUUUGAUUGCCUACGGAAUUUGAAGAGCUUUGUUGGUGUGUGUGUGUAUAUAUACAACGUUAUUUACGAUGUCUUUAGGUUUUGGAUUUUGUUAUUACUAGCAUCAUGGUUGUAAAGGUUUAGAUGAUCGUCGUUUUUAGGUUGUCGUAUUUUUCACUUCAUUGGUCUUCUUUGUAGAUUGUUGGACCAACGGCUAACACACCUACGACUGCUUUUUUGGUGCCUCCGCCACCCCCGCCCCGUUUGACACCCGCGGGAACUCUCGUUGCUCCGCCACAACCUGCUCCCCGCGGACCUUCUUCAGCAGUGGCUCCCACAUUACCUCUCCCACCUCCGCCUCCUUCGUCUGGACCCCAAUAUUCCUAUCCUGCUACCUCGGCAGCACCCUCGUAUGCCCCAGCCCCACCUCCUCCUCCUCCUGCUGCGACGAGUUCUUAUUUCCCGGUUCCUUUUCAUUUACAGCAACAAUAUCAAGCACCACCACAGCAAUAUAAUCCAGCUUCACAAACUACGUAUCAAGCACAGCCUC